rnacentral:lncRNA from 1 species
CAGGUUGAGAAUCUGUCUCUGAGAACCUGAAGCUUUUCCUGCUGAUUCUCACUAUUUUCCCAGCAAACUUCCGCCGGAGAAAGUUCCAGAAAGAACCCUGUGGGAGGCCUCCCUGCUACAGCGAAGCAGACCUCACCCACCACUACCAGCGUUAAGUCAGAACGGCCAGAGGAAGAUCCUGCCAGCCUUUCCCUUGAGCUGGUCCACGGGAACCUCUCCCAGGAGCUGUCCGUCGGCAAACAGAGAGCCCACAGUGCCUCAGGAAAAAUUGGCUGAAUAAAAGGUAUAAAGA